UAAUAGCGUAUAUUAAAGUUGUUGCAGUUAAAAAGCUCGUAGUCGGAUGUCGGGCUCGGGGAGGCUGUCGGCCUUCGGUCGGACGGCAUGUCCGGGCCUUUCUGCCUGGGGAUCCUACUCUACUUAACUGUAGGGUAGUGGGACGCAGGCCGUUUACUUUGAAAAAAUUAGAGUGUUCAAAGCAGGCCUACGCUUGAAUACAUUAGCAUGGAAUAAUGGAAUAGGACUUUGGUCUUAUUUGUUGGUUUAUGGGACCGAAGUAAUGAUUAACAGGGACAGUUGGGGCCGUUUAUAUUUCGUUGUCAGAGGUGAAAUUCUUGGAUUUACGAAAGAUAAACUUCUGCGAAAGCAUUCGGCAAGGAUGUUUUCAUUGA
rnacentral:rRNA from 1 species